GCAUCUUCACAAGGUUCUUUGCUGUUGUUCUGGGAUUGAUUUGCACUUUUCACACCAAAGCACGUUCCAUUCUAGGAGACAGAAUGCGCAUACUUACUGAGAGGUAUGAUGACUGUGUGGUCCCAUGGUGUUUAUACUUGCGUUCUAUUGUUUGUACAGAUGAACGUGGUACCUUCAGGCGUUUGGAAAUUGCUCCCAAGGAUGAACCAGACUUGUGGAGGUCUACAAUUUUUUUCUGAGUACUGCUCUGUCUCUGGCUCCUGUCUCCUGUACCACGUCUCACCACCAACCACCUUGCUCUAGACUUCACUCACCACCACCUUGGAUUCCCCUCAGGACUUGUUUACCCUGUUCAACUCAGUCAACUACAACCUCACUCUACACUUCGGGUUUUUCUGCAACUCAUCUGAGCUACCCCGGUUCUGCACUCCAUAUCUCUCUGUGUACAAUAAACAUUUUGGUUCAUUCAUCCCUG